GUGACAAUAAGUUAAUUGGUUAAACUCUGGUACUUCCAAUACUAUAAUACGUGUUCGAGUCACGUUUGUCAUA
rnacentral:tRNA from 5 species